GGUUACAAAGUUACAGCGCCUUGGAGGUCCCGUGGAUCUGUGUCUUGCUUCAACAGUGUUUGGACAGAACAGACCCGGGGACUCCUGCUUUGUUAGCUUCCAGCCGCCUUUCAGUCUCUCCAGAUCAGAAGA